rnacentral:rRNA from 1 species
UACAGAGGUCCCAAGCGUUGUUCGGAUUCAUUGGGCGUAAAGGGUGUGUAGGUGGCGCCGUAAGUCGGGUGUGAAAUUUCGGAGCUUAACUCCGAAACUGCAUUCGAUACUGCCGUGCUUGAGGACUGGAGAGGAGACUGGAAUUUACGGUGUAGCGGUGAAAUGCGUAGAUAUCGUAAGGAAGACCAGUGGCGAAGGCGGGUCUCUGGACAGUUCCUGACGCUGAGGCACGAAGGUCAGGGGAGCAAACAGG